rfam:Aedes albopictus isolate Foshan contig248284, whole genome shotgun sequence.
UGCCCAGCAACUCCUAUCCCUACUUCCUCGUGGUACAGGCCGGAAACUAUGAGCAACCUUAGGGAAGAUCGGGUAACCAACCCCGGUGGGAACUUUGGUCAUAGGCUGACAGGGAAGG